GCCAGUGUGGUGCAGUGGUUUGAGCACUGGACUAUGACUCUGGAGAUCAGGGCUCGAUUCCCUACUCAGCCA
rnacentral:tRNA from 1 species